CCCGCCACUAUACUAGUCUGUAAUUGGUGACUUGGUAUAUUCCAGUGGUGCGCUGAGAAUAAAACCCAUCUUAGGAAACAGUCUCCUUCUUCAUGUGAGGGCCACUGUGCCGAAAGACUGGGGACAUAA